rnacentral:rRNA from 1 species
CCUACGGGAGGCAGCAGUGAGGAAUAUUGGUCAAUGGACGAGAGUCUGAACCAGCCAAGUAGCGUGAAGGAUGACUGCCCUAUGGGUUGUAAACUUCUUUUAUAUGGGAAUAAAACAAGGUAUGCAUACCCUCUUGUAUGUACCAUAUGAAUAAGGAUCGGCUAACUCCGUGCCAGCAGCCGCGGUAAUACGGAGGAGCCGAGCGUUAUCCGGAUGUAUUGGGUUUAAAGGGAGCGUAGGUGGAUUGUUAAGUCAGUUGUGAAAGUUUGCGGCUCAACCGUAGAAGUGCAGGUGAAACUGGCAGUCGUGAGUACAGUAGAGGUGGGCGGAAUUCGUGGUGUAGGGGUGAAAUGCUUAGAUAUCACGAAGAACUCCGAGUGCGAAGGCAGCUUACUAAACUGGCACUGACAUUGAUGCGCGAAAGUGUGGGUAUCAAACAGGAUUAGAUACCCGUGUAGUC